UAACGCGUGGGUAACCUGCCUCAUACAGGGGGAUAACAGUUAGAAAUGACUGCUAAUACCGCAUAAGACCACGGUACCGCAUGGUACAGUGGGAAAAACUCCGGUGGUAUGGGAUGGACCCGCGUCUGAUUAGCUAGUUGGUAAGGUAACGGCUUACCAAGGCGACGAUCAGUAGCCGACCUGAGAGGGUGACCGGCCACAUUGGGACUGAGACACGGCCCAAACUCCUACGGGAGGCAGCAGUGGGGAAUAUUGCACAAUGGGGGAAACCCUGAUGCAGCGACGCCGCGUGAAGGAUGAAGUAUUUCGGUAUGUAAACUUCUAUCAGCAGGGAAGAAAAUGACGGUACCUGACUAAGAAGCCCCGGCUAACUACGUGCCAGCAGCCGCGGUAAUACGUAGGGGGCAAGCGUUAUCCGGAUUUACUGGGUGUAAAGGGAGCGUAGACGGUUAUGUAAGUCUGAUGUGAAAACCCGGGGCUCAACCCCGGGACUGCAUUGGAAACUAUGUAACUAGAGUGUCGGAGAGGUAAGUGGAAUUCCUAGUGUAGCGGUGAAAUGCGUAGAUAUUAGGAGGAACACCAGUGGCGAAGGCGGCUUACUGGACGAUGACUGACGUUGAGGCUCGAAAGCGUGGGGAGCAAACAGGAUUAGAUACCCUGGUAGUCCACGCCGUAAACGAUGCAUACUAGGUGU
rnacentral:rRNA from 1 species